rnacentral:rRNA from 1 species
GCACAAGCGGUGGAGCAUGUGGUUUAAUUCGACGCAACGCGAAGAACCUUACCUGGGCUAGAAUGCCUCUGACAACCCUAGAGAUAGGGCCUUCUGGGUAAAACCAGACAGAGUGCAAGGUGCUGCAUGGCUGUCGUCAGCUCGCGUCGUGAGAUGUUGGGUUAAGUCCCGCAACGAGCGCAACCCUUAUCAAUAGUUGCCAGCAUUUAGUUGGGCACUCUAUUGAGACUGCCGUUGACAAAACGGAGGAAGGUGGGGAUGACGUCAAGUCCUCAUGGCCUUUAUGUCCAGGGCUACACACGUGCUACAAUGGCAGGUACAAACCGCAGCAAACUCGCAAGAGGGAGCCAAUCGGAAAAAGCCUGUCUCAGUUCGGAUUGCACUCUGCAACUCGAGUGCAUGAAGUUGGAAUCGCUAGUAAUCGCGGAUCAGCAUGCCGCGGUGAAUACGUUCCCGGGC